rnacentral:rRNA from 1 species
UACGUAGGGACCAAGCGUUGUCCGGAUUUAUUGGGCGUAAAGAGCUCGUAGGCGGCCCUCCACGUCGGAUGUGAAAGCUCAGGGCUCAACCCUGAGAUGCCAUUCGAUACGGGAAGGCUAGAGGUAGGUAGGGGAAAGUGGAAUUCCUGGUGUAGCGGUGAAAUGCGCAGAUAUCAGGAGGAAUACCGGUGGCGAAGGCGGCAUCCUGGACCGACAUUGACGCUGAACGGCGAAAGCUAGGGAGCAACGGG